rnacentral:rRNA from 1 species
GAUGAACGCUGGCUACAGGCUUAACACAUGCAAGUCGAGGGGAAACGGCAUUGAGUGCUUGCACUGAAUGGACGUCGACCGGCGCACGGGUGAGUAACGCGUAUCCAACCUUCCCGUUACUGCGGGAUAACCUGCCGAGAGGCAGACUAAUACCGCAUGUUCUUCGAUGACGGCAUCAGAUUCGAAGCAAAGAUCCGUCGGUAACGGAGGGGGAUGCGUCUGAUUAGCUAGUUGGCGGGGCGACGGCCCACCAAGGCGACGAUCAGUAGGGGUUCUGAGAGGAAGGUCCCCCACAUUGGAACUGAGACACGGUCCAAACUCCUACGGGAGGCAGCAGUGAGGAAUAUUGGUCAAUGGGCGGAAGCCUGAACCAGCCAAGUAGCGUGCAGGAUGACGGCCCUACGGGUUGUAAACUGCUUUUAUGCGGGGAUAAAGUGAGGGACGCGUCCCUUUUUGCAGGUACCGCAUGAAUAAGGACCGGCUAAUUCCGUG